rnacentral:tRNA from 1 species
AUGCCGAAGGUUAGACUCCUUCCUACCGCA